rnacentral:ncRNA from 1 species
GGUUGAGGACGACCUCAACGUUUUCAGAUAUAUGACGGGACGACCCGC